rnacentral:lncRNA from 1 species
AUGGCUUUGGGAAACUUUUGUUUACAGAUUAGAAAAAUGAUGGUUGAAUACAAUGAAUUUCAGUGCACUCAGGUUUCUCUGCCUCUCCUACAAGCAGAAGACAGUCUGUGGAUGAUGAGCUGCAGAGCAGAUUCAACUGAGAUGAUUUCACCCCAUCUCCCCCUUUCUUCUGGAGAAAUAAGUCAGAUGAACACAAGUCAGAUCUGAAAGCUCUGCUGCAGUUGGAUCAGCAUGGAGUUAUAUUCCUGGGAGCUUCCAGGUAAUGCACAGCAGUUGAGAUGGUAAUUCUUUGAUGAUUUUUUUAGAUACUGCAUAUUAAUGCACUGGGCCAUCUUUAUCACAAAAAAAUGCCUUACAACAAACAAACUUCCCUCCUCUUUGUUCUCCUAUCACAAUAUAGUUGUCCCAGAUGGAAAAGGUGAAACUAUAUUUCUAGUAAUGUUUGUCUUCUGAACUGAAAGAAGAGGAAGAUUAUUUAUUUAUUUAUUUAUUUAGAGCAGGUACUGUCACACAGACUCAUGGUGUUAAAAGCUGCAAAAUAUAAGGAUAUUAGUUGCAGAGGAAAAAGGUGUUUGUGCAAAAUGUGGCAUCUCUCUGUAACUCUGAAAACACACUAGGAAGUUGCGCAACAUUCUGGGUAAAACAGCAUAGCAAGGGUUUUCAAUAAGGCCAGGAGACCCACUUGUCAACGUCACUUAGUUAUUACUGCUCCUGUGGAACAUACAUCCACAAGGACCCUGCUUGGAUUUUCCUGCAAUAUUUUAGUAUGACCCGUUAUAAACUGCCUCUCAGCAUGGGCUGACCUGCUGUAGGCUGGUGUCCAGCACUCUGUGUGGCUUCCAACUCCCCUUCUGCCCUUCUGGGAUGACUUGAGAUGGAAAGGAUGACAAG